GAUGAAGAACGCAGCGAAAUGCGAUAAGUAAUGUGAAUUGCAGAAUUCAGUGAAUCAUCGAAUCUUUGAACGCACAUUGCGCCCGCCAGUAUUCUGGCGGGCAUGCCUGUUCGAGCGUCAUUUCAACCCUCAAGCCCCCGGGCUUGGUGUUGGGGAUCGGCGUGCCCUCGCGGCGCGCCGUCCCCUAAAUCUAGUGGCGGUCUCGCUGUAGCUUCCUCUGCGUAGUAGCAACACUCGCACUGGAUCGCAGCGCGGACACGCCGUUAAACCCCCCACUUCUGAAAGUUUGACCUCGGAUCAGGUAGGAAUACCCGCUGAACUUAAGCAUAUCAAUAAGCGGAGGA
rnacentral:misc_RNA from 1 species